rnacentral:rRNA from 1 species
GUCGAACGAGAGACCUUCGGGUCUCUAGUGGCGAACGGGUGAGUAACACCUAUGGAACCUGCCCGCGCACCGGGAAUACGCUCUGGAAACGGAGAACAAAUCCCGAUGUACAGGAAGGAGGCAUCUUCUUUCUGUGAAACAUCCUUUCGGGGAUGGGGCGCGGAUGGACCUGCGGUGCAUUAGUUGGUUGGCGGGGUAAAGGCCCACCAAGACGAUGAUGCAUAGCCGGCCUGAGAGGGCGGACGGCCACAUUGGGACUGAGACACGGCCCAGACUCCUGCGGGAGGCAGCAGUAGGGAAUUUUCGUCAAUGGGCGCAAGCCUGAACGAGCGAUGCCGCGUGAGUGAAGAAGGCCUUCGGGUCGUAAAGCUCUGUUGCGGGGGGAAAAAGGCAGCAUCGGGAAAUGGGUGCUGACUGAUGGUGCCCCGCCAGAAAGUCACGGCUAACUACGUGCCAGCAGCCGCGGUAAUACGUAGGUGGCGAGCGUUAUCCGGAAUGAUUGGGCGUAAAGGGUGCGCAGGCGGUCCUGCAAGUCUGGAGUGAAACGCAUGAGCUCAACUCAUGCAUGGCUUUGGAAACUGGAGGACUGGAGAGCAGGAGAGGGCGGUGGAACUCCAUGUGUAGCGGUAAAAUGCGUAGAUAUAUGGAAGAACACCAGUGGCGAAGGCGGCCGCCUGGCCUGUUGCUGACGCUGAGGCACGAAAGCGUGGGGAGCAAAUAGGAUUAGAUACCCUA